AUAUUUGGUGGAAUAAUCCUGGUUUUUAAUCACAGUUUUUUUUUCGUGCAUCUUGGCAUCAUGUUCUCCUCCACCAGUCUUACACACUGCUUUUGGAUAACUUUAUGCUGCUUUACUCCUGGUGCAAAAAAUCAAGCAGUUCAGUUUGGUGGUUUGAUGGUUUGUGAUCAUCCAUCUUCCUCUUGAUUAUAUUCCAGAGGUUUUUAAUUUGGUAAAAUCAAAGAAACUCAUCAUUUUUAAGUGGUCCAUAAUUUUUUUUUUCAGAGCUGUAUACAAUAAUAUAUGUAAUCAGCAAUGUUCAACAAUGGCCAUAAACUAUUUCACUCUGGCCCUGAGAUUGCAUCAGCAGCCGGAGCCCGAGCGAGCAAAAUUUGCGCCUCUGUCCAGGUGGGUAGAUGGCGUGCUCUACCCUCAUAAAUCCUAUUGUAAUGCUAUCCAACAUAUAUAUAUAUAUUGCGCCUGGGGACCCAGCGCUUUCCUGACUUUACAUUUUGCAUGUAUUGGAGGAGCGCUUGUCCUCAAUCUCAAUGUAUUGUGAGCAUUGCAAUAGAUUCGGGAUAUUCGGCAUUGACUCAGCUAAAUUGGGGAGAAAUUUGGGUUAAAGCACAAACAAACUAACAAAAUAAAUGGCAAUACAUUAUGGUAGUUAAUUUAGACAAAUCACAGUGUUAAACAAAUAUUUUCUAAUAAGUUCUACUCGCACAAUCUUACCUGCUGCUCCUUUAUCCUUAAUACGAACCAGCGUUUCUCUCCGUUAAACUGAUGCAAGGUGUAAAUACCAUAAAAUUAGUUUUUUUUAAACAGUUUUAAAUACAAUCCAGUGUAGCCCUUGUACAGUACUGAUACUGGAAGGAGUAAGACAUUUUGUACAGAUAAUAGAAUCUGUUAGGAAACUAAGCAUCAUGAACAUGUUUUGAAAAUGACUUUUUUUUUUGUUGUUUUUUUGUUUUUUUAAAGUGCAUUACUCUGAUCAGUGUUCCAAUUUCACGUAGUAAUCACCAUGCAAACUUUGUCAACAUGCGUAAAAAUGAAUGUAAAGGCUUUUCCCUCUUCACUUUUGUACCCUAAUACCUUAAUUUUUUGUAUCUGCUUUCUCCAGAUUAAAGGAGCAAUAAGUAA